rnacentral:lncRNA from 1 species
GAGGUUCUCAGAACUUCCCUAUUCACAGUUUGUGAAACAAGGGAGAUUUCUUGCCAACUUCCCCGAGGCUGCUCUGAACUUGCAUUAAUUAACUCGAACAUAAGAAAAUGUUUCUAAUAUGCCACGUGUUUGAAAGACUCCAAACCUGAGUUGCCAAUUUAAGGCUAACCUUCUGUUACCAAUGUUACAAUUAUUUAAUCCUAACCAAUAACUUAUGAGCUGAUACUCCUGUGAUGAAGACACGCAAAGCACAUUACCAGUAAAAAAAAAAAAAAAAAAAAGAAAGAAAGAAAGAAAAAAAAUGAAGCCGCUACACGUAGACCAAUCAGAGAAUUUUAUUUUUUCUAGCUAUAAUUAUAAAAUAAAAAGCACCAUGUGAACAGCUAAACACAAUAAUCACAAGCACAGAGAUUUUUGUAGGAAAAAUAGCCAUCAGUUCCUAGCAGGGGCUUCUCCAGCCACACUAGACUUCUAACUACAGGUGCAGGGCUCCAAAGGCCAAGUGAUACUGUUUAUUUAUUUUUUUCUUUUUCUCUUUCACCAAAUUAUCCCUAGGUACUGCUUUUCUUAAGUCUGUUCUCUCAUGUGUAAACCAUCUCUAGUCAGGGUAUAAGGCUCCUAUGAGAGUUACCAUCGUUUCUCUAGAUUUUCACAUAGCUUUAAACACAUACACAAAAAUACACAAAACAGAGACCAACAGAUCCAGACACAUGCGACCCUUUCUCAUCCUCCACAAGCAGGCAAAAGAACUAGAUGAUUUUGGAAAGGUAAGCUUCCACUUCAGAACUCUGUCUCUCUGACCGACUCCAGAGACUACCAGGCAUGCCUGGCUCUCCCCACUUCCCAGGGUGUCCCCCGGGCAGCAGCGGUCUUCCUAGCACAUCUGCUGACCACAGUCCUCCGGUCUUUACAGCCUGAAAGGACAGCUGCAAAUACCAAGUUUCAGAAAACCCCAUCAUCUGCAAACACCAGAGAAACCAAGCUCAGUCGGAUCCAAACUCAAACUGCUCCAUGCUUCAAAACCAAGGGAUGAAACACGGACAACAAACCAACACAACAAGCACAUGUUCGUUUCAGAAAACAUAGGACAGACACUCAGAACAAAGACACCGGCCGACACACACACAAGAGGGGAUUCCCCGAUUUUCUCUCUGUCUCAGGGAGUUUCAAAAUCCACUUUCCUCCCACCUGAUGCAGUUCCCAACUGCGGCCAUCUGCCUGUUCCAUUGAUUUACACCCUUUUAUUUCUCUCGCCUAAAAAGCAGCUUCUGAAAGCUGCAGCCGACUGCCUGCUGCGUUCCUAGAUCCUGAUAUCACUGCUGAACCUAAGUUAAUCCAGCACAGGUCAGCGCUGUUCCAGCUUAGACUGUACUGCACCCCUAGCAACCUUUUACCCCUUGCUUCGUGCCCCGGUACGAAUUUCCUGUCUGUGGAGCUCCAUACCAGCAGUGUUUCUUCCAGCGUCUUCUGCCAUUCCCAGGCCCCUCUUUGGUACGCCAAAUUGUUGGAGCUGGCCUGUGGCUCUCAUGUCCGGGUUCGAGCCUGAGAGGCAUCUGGAGCUGAAAGAGAAGAGGGAACCUAGGCGGGUCAAGAGAUAAUGGAAACCAAGACGUGUUACAGAUUACCUCAUUCAGGAUAUUUUCUAGUUCCAUUCAUUUGCCUAAGAAUUCCAUGAAUUCAUCAUUUUUAAUAGGUGAGUAUUACUUCAUUGUGUAAAAUGUAACACAUUUCUGUAUCCAUUCCUCUGUUGACGGAAAUCUGGGCUCUUUCCAGCUUCUGCUAUUAUAAAUAAGGCUGCUAUGUACAUAGUGGAACAUGUGUCCUUGUUAUAUGUUGGAGAAUCUUUUGGGUAUAUGCUCAGGAGUGGUAUAGUUGGGUAUCCUGAAUUGUUUGGACAUUUCCCUUGAGCACUUUUGACUGUAGCUGUAAACUUGUUAAUUGGCUCUGAGUUCAUUGUAGGUCAUGUGUGUUCUGUACCUGCCUAUAAUGUUCUGAAUUCAUGAAUGAAAGACAUACAUAUAUAGUGUUUCUUUUAAUAUGCCUUACUAGCUCAACUGCUAGAUUUCAUCCUAAUUUCCAUAUUAUCUUUCCAUAACAUUUCAUUCUGUUUCUCCUUCCUUCCUCCAUCCCCCACCUCCCCCCUCCCCCAGUUCCUUACUAGGUAACUAAACUCUGUGGUUAUUCUGACCACAAUACACAUAUUGAAAUUUUAAAAGCUAAUAUCCAAAUAGAAGGGAAAAUAUUAAAUAUUUUUCUUUUGGGGGUCUGGGUUACAUCACUCAAGAUAUUGUUUUUCUAGCUUCACCUGUCUAUCUGUGAAAUUAAUAAUUUUGGUCUGUUGUGGUAUAUAAUGAACAUGUUUGAGCAAGUGUAAUUGGCUGUAGAUUCCUUUCAGUAUAUGCCCAUGUGAUGGUUUGUAUAUUCUUGGGCCAGGGAGUGGCACCAUUUGGAGGUAUGGCCUUGUUGGAAUAGGUGUGACCUGGUUGGACGAGGUGUGUUACUGUGGGUGUGGGCAUAAGAUCCUCACCCUAGUUGCCUGGAAGUCAGUCUUCCACUAGCAGCCUUUGGAUGAAGACAUAGAACUCUCAGCUCUGCCUGUGCCAUGCCUGUCUGGAUUCUGCCAUGCUCCCACCUUGAUGAUAAUGGACUGAACCUCUGAACCUGUAAGCCAGCCCCAAUUAAAUGUUGUUUUUAUAAGACUUGCAUUGGUCAUGGUGUCUGUUCACAGCAGUAAAACCCUAACUAAGACAGCCCAAGAGUGGCGUAGCUGGCUCUUGUGGUAGAUUGGUUUCUAGAUUCCUGAGAAAUCAUUACACUUGUUUGCAUAAUGACUAUACAAGUUUGCACUCCCACCAGCAAUAGAAAAGUGUUCCUCUUACUCCAUAUCUUCUCUAGCCUGAACUGCUACUUGUUUCAUUGACCUUGAGCACUCUGGCUAGUGAAAUCUCAAAGUAAUUUUAAUUUACAUUUUCCUGCCAACUAAGGAUGUUGAACAUUUUUAGAGUUCUUUUCAACAAUUUGUGUUUCAUCUUUUGAAAAUUCAUUGUUUAGAUUCAUACCUUAUUUUAAAAUUAUUUUUUAUAUUAGUGGGUUUUUUUAUACUAACCCUCUAUUGCAUGUGUACUUGGUAAAGUUCUUCUCCCAAUUGCCUUUUUUGUCUGAGUGAUGGUGUCCUUUGCCAUACAGAACCUUUUCAGAUUCAUGAAGUCCCAUUUAUUAAUAAUAUAUAUUAAUUUAUGUAAAGUUUAAUAUAUUAAUUUAAUAUGUCAAUUUUAUAUAACAAAUAUAUAAAUAUAAUAUGUAUAUAUUACCACUCAAGCCUCUUUAAAAACAAAUAAAUACACAACUUGGUGUUUCAAGAUACAAUACAGUGAUUCUGUCUAUAUUCUAUGUUAAAGGACUGCCAUCUUUACAGCUUCAGGUGUGUCAGCCUAAAAUGACUGCCAUUAGUCUUGGUAAAUGUUACUACUCCUUCAAAGGAGAGUAGAUGAACAGCCAUCAUGCUAACUUU